CCUCCGGGGGCCGCGGGAUGGGCCCACAGCAGGAGGCGCGGCUCUCACAAGUGCCAGCCUCCUCCUUCCUCCACCUCUGUGCUCUGCUGGGACAGCCCUCUGUCCCUCUGCGCCCAGCGCUGGGCUGUCAGCUCCCCCCGGGGGCGGGGAGAGACCAGCUCAGCAAAGACCCUCCCUGCAGGCCUGGCUCUCAGACGCCUCACGGGGGGGUGGGGGUGGGGGUGAGACCUGACAAUGCUGGGCCUCCUCCUGGGUCUCAGAAAGGAACAGGUGAGACGGAACCUGACCUGACCUAGUGAUGAGGCUUGAGACCCCCUCCCGGGCCCUGGCUCCACCCACGCGCCCCUCCCCGCACUCACCCUUCUGCCUGUGGCCACAGCAGGUUGGGUCCCAGCACAAUGGCCAUGUUACUGGGCGUCAUCUUGUUGAUGUCUUGAUAUUCUGAGAGCUUGGAUAAGAAUUUGAUCAAGUACCUGAAAGGCAGUGAGAAGGGCCAGGCUGAAUGAGAGCGCGACACCGGCCCUGUCCCCCCAGCGCUGGGUGGACACUUCUCCCUUGCAGCACGUCUGAUGGACAGCAAGACUACACGUCCUGCCGUGUAAUCAGGACGCGUCAUGUGGCAGGACAAGGAACGCUCCAAAGACAGCCUCAGCUCUUGCUGUCUGCUCACAUCUGGCCAGAAAAACCCGGCUCCGGCUUUCCUUCAGCCUCGGUAAAGGACGACCUGGAACGUCCCUGCUCUUCUCAAGCCUCUGUCACCUGCCAUCCUCCUGUGUGCAGAGAACUGACGGGGAGACCACCCGGAUGUCCAGAAGGGGACACGCGGGUGCAUCCACCGUGGCGAAUCCACACGACGGAACCCUCGGCAGCCCGAAAAGCACGCUACCUUGGGGGUGGCCUCAGAAACACAACAUCGCAUGAAGGAAGCCAGCCACGGAGAGCCCACGUUUCUGAUUCCACCGCGGGAAAUGCCAGUGCGGGCAGGGCCACAGAGCGGAACAGAGGACGCUCCAGACCGGCUGGACUCACUUGGAAGCCUGGAUCCACUCGUCAUAGAGUUCAAAGGUCAUCAGAGGCUCUGGCAGCUCCCGGAGGUAAGAUUUCAAAGCUCCUGGAUGUGAAAGACGUACGUGCUGUGAGCCACUGUGACAUGCCAGGGACAUUCUCCAGCCGGCGCCACCCACUGGGGCCACAGCCGGGGACGGUUCCCUGACCCGGCCGCCACGUGACUGGAUCCGAGGCCGUGGGUGAGGAUGGCAGCCCCCCCCCCCACGCUUCCCCCGCCACCCCUCUGCCUGGCACGUGGGGGAGGGGGAGGCCUUUCUCGGGGCCCCAUCACCCGGUCUCCAUGACUCGUGGCCGCAAGGCCUCCGUGUCUGCACCUCCCCCGGCCCCCCGGCCCUCCCGCCGCGGGCGCACCUGCGAUGGCGUGCGGGUCUGCCGAGUACUCCUGCACGUCCAGCACGCAGCAGUCCAGCGCCGCCUUCAGCUUCUUCAGCUUGGACGCCGAC